CUUGCAAGUACAACUUCAUACUACAUACUGUGCUUUUAAAUUUGUAGUAUCAUUUAAUCUUCAUGCAAAUAAUGACAGUAAGGACCAGCCCCAUUUUCUCAAAUAAUGAAAAUGCCACCCGGAAUGGUCUGUGAUGUACCCAGGUUUGUAAAAUUAGAAUAAGUCUUUAAAAUAGCUUUUCCCUCAAAGUUCAUUUCCUUUUAUGAUCACUAGUGCUUCUACUCUCUCAAAGAAUCCAAGUGAGCCAGAGGACUGUCUUUAUUAAUUUUACCCUCAUAACAUCCCAAUGGGUAAUUAAUAUUGUGAGUAGCUAUUUUCUAAAGGAACAGAACAAGAUUGUAUAGUAGUAUCCCCAAAGGAACACACUAGCAACUGGCUAAGAUGAACUUCAGAUUUACAUUCUUUUGACUCUAGAAUACAUGGUCAUCAAAAGGAAGCAGUAUGCUGUUGACCAAAAUACGAUAAAAAAUAUAUAUUCCUUCCCAGCAUCCCAAGGGAAUUUUGCAAAUUAAAUGAAACAAUGCUCAUAAAAUUGGUUUGUUAAUGACAAAUUUGUCUAUAUGCAGUGUGUAAUUUUUAUCAUUAUGUAUCUGGAAAAUGAACCAUGUUGGCUACCCAAUUUAAAUUUCAAAAUCCAAAAAUCAAGUGUAGGCAAGGCAGUCUCCAAGGGUUGAAGAGUCAUUAUUUGGGAUGUUGCCAAGUGCACUUAUCAUUUGUAAGUAUCUGUCUUCAUUGAGCCAAAAGUGGAUGGAGAAAAUAAUCAUCUGAGCAGCCAGGUCCCAAAGCAGGAGGCAGUCCAGCAAGCUGAAGUUCACUAGAGCUGGUAAUUCUACACCUGUCUUCUGGCAGCUCUCAGGCGCUGAAGGAGCUGCUCUAGUGCCAUGAGCACAACCACAGCCUUGCCCUUCCUCAUCUGCCUUUGCCACUUAGAAAAGCCCUUUGGUUGCUUUCAUCUGCUUCCCUUUGGCUGCAUUCAUCCAGGUGUGAUUCAGGAAGUGUGCUUCAAGGACUGGCUAGUGACAUGUUGUUCCGAGGAGAAGAAGUCCAUUAUGUUUCCAUCACUGUUCCCUACAGUGAAUGUUGAUUAGAGUUGCAGUGGAAUUCAAUUAAGUCCAACACACAUUCAUGGAGUGCCUGCAGUGCUCCUGACACUAUUUCAGGUGCUGAAGAGGAAAGCUACGAUGAAUCAGCUCUAAGCUUGUGGCUGUCACAAUCUGGAGUAAAUGGAAGAAGAUCUGGUGAUAAAGAAUAAAAUGAAGACCAGGAAUUGAAAUAAGAAGGAACACUGAAAGACUCAAAAGUCAAGAGAAGACUGCUUUCAGAGAGAAAG
rnacentral:lncRNA from 10 species